CCUACGUGUGGCAGCAGUGAGGAAUAUUGGUCAAUGGGCGCGAGCCUGAACCAGCCAAGUAGCGUGAAGGAUGACUGCCCUACGGGUUGUAAACUUCUUUUAUAAAGGAAUAAAGUGAGGCACGUGUGCCUUUCUGUAUGUACUUUAUGAAUAAGGAUCGGCUAACUCCGUGCCAGCAGCCGCGGUAAUACGGAGGAUCCGAGCGUUAUCCGGAUUUAUUGGGUUUAAAGGGUGCGUAGAUGGGUGGUUAAGUCAGUGGUGAAAGUUUGCGGCUCAACCGUAAAAUUGCAAUUGAUACUGGCAGUCUUGAGUACAGUUGAGGUAGGCGGAAUGCGUGGUGUAGCGGUGAAAUGCUUAGAGAUCACGAAGAACUCCGAUUGCGAAGGCAGCUUACUAAACUGCCACUGACAUUGAUGCUCGAAAGUGUGGGUAUCAAACAGGAUUAGAUACCCCUGUAGUC
rnacentral:rRNA from 1 species